UAGUAAAUAGGUGUAGUAAAAUAAAAUUGCAAUCAAAUUCGACCAAAGGCUAUAAUCUCGCCUUUAUAUACGACUCAUUGUGUACCUCUUCCUCUUCAUACUCUCACUUUUUCUUGGUUUAGCUUAAGCUUAUCCAACAUUGUCAACAUCUUUUUCUUCUCCAUUUCCGUCCUCUCUCUUUCCUUAUUUACUCUUCUAACCUACAAGCAUGAUUGGUGGAACGUUUGCUGACUCUGAAGGUGGAUAUGAAGGAAUAAGUUGGCUGUGGAGGAAGAAGAAAAGAAGGAAAAAGUUGUGUAAAUAACUAAAACAAGAAGAAAAAAACAAUGCAAUUUCGAUCUCUUGAGUUUCUAGCUAUCUAUUUGGAAGGUGCAGAAUUGGGAGAUCGACACUAUGCAUUGUGGGGAAUUGAGGGUAGCGGUCCGAGUUUACCUAAAGUUUAAUUAUUUAGCCAUUUACUCCUUAUUUUCUUUAACUCUCCAUCUAUUGUCUUCGUCUUCAUGAAACUCAUCACUACCUCGUGAGGACGUUGAGACCAUAGCAUGUUACAACAAAGCGCGCCCGCUUUUUGUGUUGUUUGUUUUGGGUAUUUUUGUUGUUUUUGCUAAUCUCAUAGUAUAGCAAAGUAUAACAUGAGAUGUAAGAAAUGCAUACGAGGCAGCUAGCAAUAUGGUGGAAUUAGUGGGGAAGAUUUACAAUUUCUAUUGAAAGUUGGGUUUGUUUGUAAGGUUAUUAAGUUCUGCCAGGCAUGCAUCACUUACACUGAAGAUUUACAAUUUCUAUUAACAAUUGGGGUUUGUUUGUAAGGUUAUUAAAUUCUGCCAGGCAUGCAUCACUUACACCUUUACCAAAUAUGUAUUUACUUUUUCAUGUGUUAUUUAAGAGAUAAAAGAACAGUUGGUUUCUUAUUGGUUUUACUUUUCCGAUCUUUGUUUGAAUGAUUGAUUUGCUUUUUGCAGAAAAGUGGAGACGAUUGGAUGUUACUGUUUCCUUUUCUCUUUCCCUUAUAUAAUGGGAGACUAAGUCAUAGCAGUUUUAGCUAGCAAUUAUUUUCUUUUUUUGGUCCUUUUCUUUUAUUAUAC
rnacentral:lncRNA from 1 species